rnacentral:rRNA from 1 species
AGAGUUUGAUCAUGGCUCAGGAUGAACGCUGGCGGCGUGCUUAACACAUGCAAGUCGAACGAGCCUUCGGGCUAGUGGCGGACGGGUGAGUAACGCGUGAGAAUCUGCCCUCAGGAGGGGGAUAACGGCUGGAAACGGCCGCUAAUACCCCAUAUGCCGCGAGGUGAAACGAGUUUUCGCCUGAGGAUGAGCUCGCGUCUGAUUAGCUAGUUGGUGGGGUAAGAGCCUACCAAGGCAUCGAUCAGUAGCUGGUCUGAGAGGAUGAUCAGCCACACUGGGACUGAGACACGGCCCAGACUCCUACGGGAGGCAGCAGUGGGGAAUUUUCCGCAAUGGGCGCAAGCCUGACGGAGCAACGCCGCGUGAGGGAUGAAGGCCUCUGGGCUGUAAACCUCUUUUCUCAAGGAAGAAGAACUGACGGUACUUGAGGAAUAAGCCACGGCUAAUUCCGUGCCAGCAGCCGCGGUAAUACGGGAGUGGCAAGCGUUAUCCGGAAUUAUUGGGCGUAAAGCGUCCGCAGGCGGUCUUGAAAGUCUGUUGUUAAAGCGUGGAGCUCAACUCCAUUCCAGCAAUGGAAACUAGAAGACUAGAGUGUGGUAGGGGCAGAGGGAAUUCCCGGUGUAGCGGUGAAAUGCGUAGAUAUCGGGAAGAACACCAGUGGCGAAGGCGCUCUGCUGGGCCAUAACUGACGCUCAUGGACGAAAGCCAGGGGAGCGAAAGGGAUUAGAUACCCCUGUAGUCCUGGCCGUAAACGA